rnacentral:lncRNA from 1 species
GCAUUGCACGCACCUGAGCUCCCCGGGCUGGCCCGGCCUUCCGCCACGUGCUCCGUCACUGCUUCAGGCCGGGACUCAGCACUGCCACUACAGAUGGGGUGGUGGCACAUGGGGAGGAUGGGGAUGCCAUGGGAUGGUGGCACAUGGAAGGGUGGAGGUGUUCAGCAAUGGUGACACAUGGGCAGAGUGGAGGUGCCGUGGGAUGGUGGCACAUGGGAGGAUGGAGACAUCCAGUUUGGCACAGGGACAGGAUGGAGAUGCCAUGGGAUGGUGGCACAUGGAUAGGAUGGAGACGGUAUGCGAUGGUGGCACAGGGACAGGAUGGAGAUGUGGUGGGAUGGUGGCACAUGGAAGGGUGGAGAUGCCAUGGGAUGGUGGCAUGGGGACAGGAUGGAGAUGCCCUGGGAUGGUGGCACAUGGAAGGGUGGAGGUGUUCAGAAAUGGUGACACGUGGGCAGAGUGAAGGUGCCAUGGGAUGGUGGCACAUGGGAGGAUGGAGACGUUAUGCGAUGGUGGCACAGGAACAGGAUUGAGAUGCGGUGGGAUGGUGGCAUAGGGACAGGAUGGAGAUGCCCGAGGAUGGUGGUACAUGGAAGGAUGGAGAUGGGGUGGGAUGGUGGCACAUGGAAGGGUGGAGGUGUUCAGAAAUGGUGACACAUGGGCAGAGUGGAGGUGCUGUGGGAUGGUGGCACAUGGGAGGAUGGAGACAUCCAGUUUGGCACAGGGACAGGACGGAGAUGCGGUGGGAUGGUGGCACAUGGAAGGAUGGAGACGGUAUGCGAUGGUGGCACAGGGACAGGAUGGAGAUGUGGUGGGAUGGUGGCACAUGGAAGGGUGGAGACAUCCAGUUUGGCACAGGGACAGGAUGGGGAUGCGAUGGGAUGGUGGCACAGGGAUAGGACGGAGGCGCUGAGAAGCGGCGGCGCAGGGCAGGUGGGGGUGUUAUGGGCAGGUGGGGUUGUUAUGGGCCGGCGGCGCAGCGAAGGACGGAGGUGGGGACGCCGGGAGGCGGCGCAGUGCGGCCCGCUGUGGGGCGGCGCAGAGCUGCGGCGCUGGGAGCGUUUGGUUCUCAUUAUGGGCUGCUGGCAGCGGCGGUGGAAAAAAUAGCAGUGAGUGCAGAGCUGGGAGGGAGAGGGGCCGUGGAGGGGCGGCUGCGGUGUGCAAACAGCGAGCGGUGAGCACGGCCAGCGUGCAAAUACAGCGUGCAACGUGUGCUCAGCGUGCAACGUGCAAAUAAAGCGUGCAGCGUGUGUGCUUAGUGUGCAAGGAAAGCGUGCAACGUGUGCUCAGCGUGCAACGUGCAUAUAAAGUGUGCGGCAUGUGUGCUCAGUGUGCAAAGAAAGUGUGCAACGUGUGCUCAGCGUGCAUAUAAAGUGAGCAACGUGUGCUCACUGUGCAAGGAAAGCAUGCAAUGUGUGCUCAGAGUGCAACAUGCAAAUAAAGCGUGCAGUGUGUGUGCU